CUCCUGAGCUCAAACAAUCCACCCGCUUCAGCCUCCCAGAGUGCUAGGAUUGCAGGUGUGAGCCACGGUGCCCGGCCAUAUUGUGGAGUAUAUAUUUGGUCUUUAGCCCCAGUGUCCUGGUAGGCAACUCCAAGUAAUGCCUUUGUGUGCUAAUGGUUGACUGACAGCUUUAGGAUGGGGGCUGGUCACUGGGAAGACUGCGGCAGGGGUAGCGGGCAGCUGGACACGAGGCGGCUUCUGGAGGGUGCGCCCCUUCCCCACACCUCGCCCCACGCAUCUCUUCGUCUGUACUUAUCUGUUAUAUUAAACUGCAAAACAUGCUUCCUUCUGUUCUGUGAGCCGCUGUAGCCAAUCAGUCAAACCCAAAGGGAGGGUUGCGGGAACCCUAACUUGAAGCGGGUUGGCCAGCAGCUCUGGAGACCCAGACUUGCGACUGGUGGGAAGGAGGGGGUGGCCUUGUGGGACUGAGCCCUCAACCUGUGGCAUCUGAGGCUAUCUCCAGGUGGCCAGUGGCAGAAUUUAAUUGGAGGAUGCCCAGCUGGCAACUGCUGCAGAACUGAUUGAUGGCAGGGCUGCUACCUUAGCCCAUGGGGCAUUUGUCAAGCCAGAGUCCUGGAAGGUGAUGUGACAGGCUGUCUACCACUGCUGCUGCUCCCAGGGCCAGGUGCUCACCUGCUCCUUGAGCAGCAGGGCCACACGCUGGAACAGCUGGUUGUCAUCGAGGGAGGUGAGUGCGAUGUAGAGGAAGAGGCCGUAGAGCACGGGCUUGGGGAUCCACUGCAGCGGGGUGGGCAGCAGCAGCAGGGAAAGGCCCACCAGGAUGCUGGCGCCCAGUGAGGUAAGCCGCGUCUCCUUCACGUUCACGAUCCUGUGGUGUCCCAGGGCCAAGCCUCACCUCUGGAACCUUGUACACAGGGUCACAUCCCUCCCGGGUCUCAAGGGGCCCCCUCACACUCACGUCUCAUAAAUGUGCCCGUUCUCCACGCACUCCUCCACUAAAGCCAGCGCCCGCACAUGCAAUGGGGAGUGGGGGUAGGCGGCAUGGAUCCAGGGCAGCCCAAACAGGGACAGCCCCGUGUUGAUGAUGGCCAGGAGCAGGAGGUCCCAGUGGUAGGCAGUGCCCUUUACCAGCCUGCAACAGGUGGGCACGUGAGCACUGAGCCCCCUCGGCCCCCUAGGGUCAGGCCCCUGCCCUCGCCAGCCCCCAUACCUGUUCUCUGGGGCAUUAACCAAGGCGGCCACCAGGUUCUGCUCGAUGAAGAAGAGCAUGGACAGCAGCAAGCCAAGGCCCAUGGCACUGAUGAUGGCCUGCAGGGACAGCGAGUGGAUCUGUGCCAUCUCAAACAGGCUCUUGCUGGGGUUGUAGCGGAACUUGCUCACUGCAACAGAGGACAGGCCCCUGCUGCACCUGCAGUACCCAGGAAGCAGCCCCACGCCACCCUCCCCCAGUCCCAACUCACUUUCAAUUUCCCGGAAGCCGUAGGAGCUGAUGAGGGAGAAGGCGAGCACCGAGAUGGGCAGGGCGCAGUCGGACAGGACCUCACGGACUCGGGGAUGCAGGUAGGGGCUGCAGACAGGUGGGUGGUCAGCGCAGCCUGUGGGCCGUGUGGCCCUCCCCUCAGCCCUAGCCCCCUCACCUCUUCUUGAACUGGUAGAGGGUGUAGCCCAGCCAGAGCGUGCCCAGCAUGAUGAGGAGGCUGAGCACAGCGGUCGCCCUGCCCGAGUGGAUGGCUUCCAGGCUGCCUGCCGUGGCCGGCUCUGUGGGGCUGGCUAGAAGGCUGGUGUUGAGGGCAGUGUGGAGGCUGGUGUUGAGGCUGGCGCCGAGGCCCUCCAGGCUCACCGGAGAUGAAGCCCUCUUUGUGUGGUAGUCGUCCACGUGAUGCCCGUAGUAGUACUUCGAGAAGACUGUGAACAGGGCCCAUGGGCCUCAGCCCUUUGGGCUCUGGGAGGCCAGGGCCUAGCUUUCUCCUGCAGCCCCAUCGCCCUCCAGUAGGUGGGGCUGCUGCUCUCCGCCAGCCACGGCUCCCAGAGCACCUCGACCAGGGGAGCACCCUCAGCUUGCACCCCUCCUGUCAGGCUCCUGUCAGCCCAGGGCCAGGCCACAGCCCGGAGCCUCCCAUCCCAACCUAGCUCCUCCAGCAGCAGGUGGCCACUGCUGUGCACUCACUUUUAGCCGUGCCCUUGACAGCAUCUAGCACGAAUGUGAUGGAAAUGAAGAGGGCGAUGAUCUCCUCUGUAGACCUGCCAGGAGGCGAUGGGCCUCGUAAGAGGGGUUGUGUGUAUGCCGGGGGUGACCAGAUGCUUCCCUGAGGCUCUGCAUGGCCCCCCAUCUCCUCCUGCCACUAAGGGGACCCAGGCCCCAGGCCUUGCCCAGUGAGCCCACCCCAGCCCCUGGGGGCAGCGAUAUGGUGGGACACCCCAUCCACUCUAGGGUCGCAGGGCCUCCGAGGCUGGCAGAAGGCUGACCCAGAUCCCCAGCUCAAGGGUCCCAGGGGCUCAGGGAAGGACCAGUCACCUCUUGAAGAGACUCAUGAGCAGGCUGAGGUUGAAGAAGGCAUAAAGCGCCAGGAAGAAACUGUUCCACAGACCUGUCCACGCGUAGAAGGAGUUGAAGUCCAGGCCGUAGUCGUCACAGAUGACUCGAAUCACUGCAGGCAGUGGGGUAGGGUGGGGUUAGGGCCCAGCAGGGACUGGGGACCUCGGGCACUAUCUCCCGCCUCAACCCCACUGUACCCUGGAUGUAGAGGGCCAGGGGUGCGGUCGUCAGCAAGAUCACCAGCGGCUGCCCGGAGAAAAGUGCAUACAGGAGGCCUCCGAUGCUCUGCCCGGCGAUGGUCUUCUGCACGUCUGCGGGGGUGGGCGGGUCAGGUGGGCACCACGGCCCCAGGCCCUGCCCGGCACACCCUGCCCACCGCCGGCCCCUCACCGAUGGCCCCGUCUGUGUUCUCAUCGUUGAGGGACCCAAAAGCAAUCGUGGGCAGGAGGCAGGCGAAGUAGAGGAACAGGGUGGUGGUGAUGUGCUUGCCCAAGGCCUUGUUUUUCCCCAUAAUGCCUAGGAAUGGGGGUGGGACAGAGGGUUUGUUGGGGAUGCAGGACUGGCCCACACGUGGGCCCGGGGCCUGAGAAGCCGAGCUCCGGGUGGGUCGCAGGGCACCUACCAUCAGUGAAGUCCAGCGGGUACAGAGGGAACCUGCGUGCGAUGUCCUCCCGGAUGCCCUUCCCAAAAGGGACAAAGUCCUUGCACUUCAGGGGCUGAGGGAAAGGACAGAGUGCCUGUUAGCCCUGUCUGGCCCAUGUCCCCUCCUGCCCAUGCCACCUCUACCCCGUACCUUCGGGUGUCUGUGGCCAUGGAAGGAGACCACGCUGUGAUCUUUCGUUCUCGUCACUGGACACUGGCUGGCCAUGGUGAGCAGCUGUCUCUGAUGCACCAAGGCCUCCUUGAAUUCUUCCUCCGUGCGGGUCUCCAGGAGCUUCUGGCGGAAGGCGAUGUCCGAGAACAUGGUGGCAAAUGUGCGUGCCACCUCCAUUGCGGUCUUGGUGCUUUUCUGGGGGUGGAGGAUGUCAGAGUCACGUCCACAGCCCCUGGGGAGCACAGGUGUUCCCAGGCAGGUGGAGGCGCUCUCAGCACGCACUGGCAGCGGGUGUAGUUCCCCCAAGUUCAGGCAUUAGUGUGCCCUACCACAAUUUCCGACAAGUCGGCAGAUCACCAGAACCACCAUCGAUCUAUGUUUUUUAUGCACGCACGAUUUCUUAUACGCUCAGAUAUUAAUCUUGUCCUAAGCAACAAAAAUCUGUGUAAUCAUGGACAAUGAAAUCACAAUAAACAAAGGCAUUUA